rnacentral:rRNA from 1 species
AACGAACGCUGGCGGCAGGCUUAACACAUGCAAGUCGAGCGCCCCGCAAGGGGAGCGGCAGACGGGUGAGUAACGCGUGGGAACAUACCCUUUGGUUCGGAAUAACUCAGGGAAACUUGAGCUAAUACCGGAUACGUCCGUAAGGAGAAAGAUUUAUCGCCAAAGGAUUGGCCCGCGUCCGAUUAGCUAGUUGGUGAGGUAACGGCUCACCAAGGCUACGAUCGGUAGCUGGUCUGAGAGGAUGAUCAGCCACAUUGGGACUGAGACACGGCCCAAACUCCUACGGGAGGCAGCAGUGGGGAAUAUUGGACAAUGGGCGCAAGCCUGAUCCAGCCAUGCCGCGUGAGUGAUGAAGGCCUUAGGGUUGUAAAGCUCUUUUGUCCGGGGAAGAGUAAUGACUGUACCGGAAGAAUAAGCCCCGGCUAACUUCGUGCCAGCAGCCGCGGUAAU